GGCCCUUUGGGGGGCGGGGCACUGUCGGGUUUACAUUGGAAAACUGGGACCCGGCCACUGUCCCAGACGAGCCGGCACCCGAACCCACCGUGCCUGAGCUCAUGAUGCUGGGGACUCACCCUUCUCCACAGCUUUGCGGAAUUCGAUUCUCGAAACCUAGGGACGCGCCUAUCCUUCCAACAAAGGGUCCCAAGCAGCCUGUACCAUUGCGUACUUGGCACCUGACCUCCACUUCCUCUCAUCAGAGAUGACGUUGAGUCUUCAGAUCACUCUGUGCGAGGUGGGUGCAGUUGUCCCCAUUUCACAGAUGGGGAAACCGAGGUACGGAGAGGAGAUGUCAUCUACCCAACACACCCUGGCAGUGAUUGGCUGAAUUAUGACUUGAAUCCAAAUCUCCUGACCACAGAAGGUGUCUCCACUCUUAAUCACUAUUCAGAAGACCCUGGACAGCACUUUGAUCUGGGUUUUGCCAUCUGUAACAGAUGGCAUCUCUGCUUCUUGAUGGCUGUGGCGUGAGCUGCACCCCUGUGCCACCCUCUCCCGUCGUGAUGUUCAGCCUCACCUCAAGCCCUGAGCAACGCAGCUGGCCUUCUAUGGACUAAGACCUCUGAAACCAUGAGCCCUUCAGGUAAACUCUUCCUCCUCUAAAAUCAUGCUGGUUGGAUCCACAGCAGCAAAAAAAAGACUGACUGAAGCAUCACUGCUAGGUGUAUAAAUGAGAGAAAAUAAAAAUACGGUCUCACAAA